rnacentral:rRNA from 1 species
AGUGAACGCUGGCGGUAGGCCUAACACAUGCAAGUCGAACGGCAGCACAGUAAGAGCUUGCUCUUACGGGUGGCGAGUGGCGGACGGGUGAGGAAUACAUCGGAAUCUACUUUUUCGUGGGGGAUAACGUAGGGAAACUUACGCUAAUACCGCAUACGACCUACGGGUGAAAGCAGGGGAUCUUCGGACCUUGCGCGAUUGAAUGAGCCGAUGUCGGAUUAGCUAGUUGGCGGGGUAAAGGCCCACCAAGGCGACGAUCCGUAGCUGGUCUGAGAGGAUGAUCAGCCACACUGGAACUGAGACACGGUCCAGACUCCUACGGGAGGCAGCAGUGGGGAAUAUUGGACAAUGGGCGCAAGCCUGAUCCAGCCAUACUGCGUGGGUGAAGAAGGCCUUCGGGUUGUAAAGCCCUUUUGUUGGGAAAGAAAAGCAGCAUGUUAAUACCCCGCUGUUCUGACGGUACCCAAAGAAUAAGCACCGGCUAACUUCGUG